rnacentral:lncRNA from 1 species
AAUAAUCUAUAUAAUGCAAAUUUAAUAAAGAUAAAUUGUUGAUAUAUAUAUUUUUUUCAUUUCAGCUCCAGCCUAAUUUUGAUAUAUACAAAGUGGAUUUUAUAGCUGGAUUCAGGGAUGGCAUUACACGUAAAUGUCAAACUGAUGUUCUCUGGACCUUCGAACCAUUGAAGAAAACCACGUUCAAUAUAAGAUGUAACCCUCCUUGGAGUAGCAAACUCUUGCCAUAGGUUUUAUGUAACGAGGAUAAUAAAUAAAAAUAGUGCCCGAA